AUAGGUUAAGUUAAUAAGGGCGCAUGGUGGAUGCCUUGGCACUAGAAGGCGAUGAAGGACGUGACUAACUACGAUAUGCCUCGGUUAGCUGUAAGUAAGCUUACCCGGGGGUUUCCGAAUGGGGCAACCCGAUCUUAAUGAUCAUCAUCUUUUUGAAUUCAUAGAUUAGAUGAAGCAAACGCUGUGAACUGAAACAUCUAAGUAGCAGUAGGAAAGUAAAGAAAUUUCGAUUCCGUCAGUAGCGGCGAGCGAACGCGGAAGAGCCCAAACCUGGAUGCUUGCAUCCAGGGGUUGUAGGACUGAUGUUGAGUUACAAAGGUAUAAGAUAGCAGAAACAGUUGGGAAGCUGUUCCAAAGAGGGUGACAGGCCCGUAUGCGAAAUCUUGUACUCUCUAAUCAGGAUCCUGAGUACGGCACAGCACGUGAAAUUGGGUCGGAAUCUGGGAGGACCAUCUCCCAAGGCUAAAUACUAAC
rnacentral:rRNA from 1 species